GUUUCUCUAAGCUGUUCUCUAAGUUUUUUAAAAAGCUGUUCUCUAUGUUUCAAGUCUGAAUGUGCCCUCAUGGCUGUUCUCUGUGUUUCUCUGGCUGUUCUCUCUUCUCUCUGUUCUCUGUGCUUCUCUAAGCUGUUCUCUAUGUUUCUCUAUGCUGUUCUCUAUGUUUCUCUAAGCUGUACUCUAUGCUUCUCUUAGCUGUUCUCUAUGCUUCAUUAAGCUGUUCUCUAUGUUUCUCUCAGCUGUUGUCUAUGUUUCUCUCAGCUGUACUCUAUGCUUCUCUUAGCUGUUCUCUAUGCUUCUCUAAGCUGUUCUCUAUGUUUCUCUCAGCUGUUCUCUAUGCUUCUCUAAGCUGUUCUCUGUGCUUCUCUAAGCUGUUCUCUAUGUUUCUCUCAGCUGUUCUCUAUGUUUCUCUAAGCUGUUCUCUGUGCUUCUCUAAGCUGUUCUCUAUGUUUCUCUCAGCUGUUCUCUAUGCUUCUCUAAGCUGUUCUCUGUGCUUCUCUAAGCUGUUCUCUAUGCUUCUCUAAGCUGUUCUCUAUGCUUCUCUAAGCUGUUCUCUGUGCUUCUCUAAGCUGUUCUCUAUGUUUCUCUUGGCUGUUCUCUAUGCUUCUUUAAGCUGUUCUCUAUGCUUCUCUUAGCAGUUCUCUUCUCUAAGCUGUUCUCUGUGCUUCUCUUAGCUGUUCUCUAUGCUUCUCUAAGCUGUUCUCUAUGCUUCUCUUAGCUGUUCUCUAUGCUUCUCUAAGCUGUUCUCUAUGUUUCUCUCAGCUGUUCUCUAUGCUUCUCUAAGCUGUUCUCUGUGCUUCUCUUAGCUGUUCUCUAUGCUUCUCUAAG
ensembl:lncRNA